rnacentral:rRNA from 1 species
UACGAAGGGGGCUAGCGUUGCUCGGAAUCACUGGGCGUAAAGGGUGCGUAGGCGGGUCUUUAAGUCAGGGGUGAAAUCCCAGAGCUCAACUCUGGAACUGCCUUUGAUACUGGGUAUCUUGAGUAUGGAAGAGGUAAGUGGAAUUGCGAGUGUAGAGGUGAAAUUCGUAGAUAUUCGCAGGAACACCAGUGGCGAAGGCGGCUUACUGGUCCAUAACUGACGCUGAGGUGCGAAAAGCGUGGGGAGCCAAACGGG